UACGUAGGGGGCAAGCGUUAUCCGGAUUUACUGGGUGUAAAGGGAGCGCAGACGGCAUGGCAAGUCUGGAGUGAAAUGUCAGGGCUCAACCCUGAAACUGCUCUGGAAACUGUCAGGCUAGAGUGUCGGAGGGGUAAGCGGAAUUCCUGGUGUAGCGGUGAAAUGCGUAGAUAUCAGGAGGAACACCGGCGGCGAAGGCGGCUUACUGGACGAUAACUGACGUUGAGGCUCGAAAGCGUGGGGAGCAAAC
rnacentral:rRNA from 1 species